GUAAAGCGCGUGUAGGCGGUUUGUUAAGUCUGAUGUGAAAGCCCUGGGCUCAACCCAGGAAGUGCAUUGGAUACUGGCAGACUUGAAUACGGGAGAGGGUAGUGGAAUUCCUGGUGUAGGAGUGAAAUCCGUAGAUAUCAGGAGGAACACCGGUGGCGAAGGCGGCUGCCUGGACCGAUAUUGACGCUGAGACGCGAAAGCGUGGGUAGCAAACAGGAUUAGAUACCCUGGUAGUCCACGCCGUAAACGAUGAGUACUAGGUGUUGCGGGUAUUGACCCCUGCAGUGCCAAGCC
rnacentral:rRNA from 1 species